UACAGAGGGUGCAAGCGUUAAUCGGAAUUACUGGGCGUAAAGCGCACGUAGGCGGUUUUUUAAGUCAGAUGUGAAAGCCCCGGGCUCAACCUGGGAAUUGCAUUUGAAACUGGGGAACUAGAGUGUGUGAGAGGGGGGUAGAAUUCCGAGUGUAGCGGUGAAAUGCGUAGAGAUUUGGAGGAAUACCAGUGGCGAAGGCGGCCCCCUGGCACAACACUGACGCUCAGGUGCGAAAGCGUGGGGAGCAAACAGG
rnacentral:rRNA from 1 species